AUAUAGCGACAGGGCUGCCAAAAAAAUAAAAAAAAUAUUGAACCGCCAUUUUGUACAGUUUCGGGAAAGUGAUUUGUUUACUGAUAACCACUGUUCAUUCUCCUAUUUGAUACAGUACUCUAUAACUUUACGGUAGUUAUAAUAUUAUUAUAGUCUAUAGCAGCCAACAGUCCCGAUAACGAAAUGGAUAACCAAAGAGAAAAAGAACGCGACCGUUCAAAGCGUGGAGACAGGCCAUCCAGGUUUUCCGACGCUCAAAGAGACCGCUCUAAUGACCGCGAAGCGCGAUCAGAUGGAAAACGCUUGUUCGUGUCCAACAUUCCAUACGAGUUCCGCUGGACUGAGCUUAAAGAUUUAUUUAAGGAAAAGGUUGGUGAUGUGGCAUAUGUAGAGCUGUAUAAUGAUGAUAAUGGAAAACCACGAGGGUGUGGUGUUGUUGAGUUCACUAACACAGAGGCUAUGAAAAAAGCUCUCUUUGUAAUGCACAGAUAUGAACUCAAUGGAAGGAAGCUAGUGUUGAAAGAAGAGACAGGUAAUGAACGCAACAGGGUUGGAUCUGCCAGGCAAGGAGGUGGGGGUGGCGGUGGUGGCAACAGGAACAACAGGGAUGAUAAAGAUGGUUGGGGAAUGAUGAAACCGCGGGAGCCUGAAAACUUCAAUACAUAUGGGCUCAGUCUCGAAUUCCUGGACUCCAUUAAUGUCCAGCCGCCACUAGUGAAGAAAGUUUUUGUUGCCAAUCUUGACUACAAAGCGGAUCGUGCCAAAAUAAAGGAAAUCUUCAAAAUGGCGGGUAAAGUGCGUAACAUAGACUUAGCGGUGGACAAAGAUGGCAACAGCAGGGGAUUCGCCGUUAUCGAGUACGACCAUCCUGUUGAAGCCGUGCAGGCAAUAUCCAUGUUCGACAAGCAAAUGUUAUACGAACGUCGAAUGACAGUCCGAAUGGACCGAGGCAACUCGGAAAAGUCAGAACUAAGACUGCCGGAAGGUCUAAAAGGCAUCGGCUUAGGUUUAGGACCUAACGGCGAACCAUUAAGAGACGUGGCAAGGAAUCUGCCUCAGAACUCGAACGGUCCGAGCUUGAACCUGAACAACAGUAGCUCCUCGCUGGGCGCGGGCGUGCUGGGCGCCGUGCCGCCGGCCGGCGUCGCGCUCAACGGGCUCGGCGCCGGCCUGGCCGCCAACCCGCUCGCCAGCAACACGCUGGGCGGAGGCCUGGGGCUGCAGGCUCUGGGUCUAACGGGGCUCGGAGCCCUCCAGAACCAGCUGCUGCAGCAGGGCCUGACGGCCGGCGACCUGGCCACGGUGCUGACGGCGCAGGCGCAGGCGCAGGCGCAGGUGGCGCAGGCUACCAAUGUCGGGGUCAAUGUCAACUCCGGCCUCAACCUGAAUAAUGAUUUGAGUGCGCUUGGAAAUAAUGCUUUGAGCAGUAAUGUCAUGGGAGGGAAUAAUUCUAUGAGCAGCGGGCCGCUUUCAGCUUCGAGCAGACAAAUGGUCGGAGUGACUGGCUCUGGACAAGGCUACGGACGGGACUCCAGCGUCGUCCAACAGAGCUCUCGAGACAAGUCGUCCGACAUGGUUGCUAUCACUAAUCUCCCGCCGACCGUGACGUGGCAGCUGAUCCGCGAGAAGUUCAGCGAGUGCGGCGACGUCAAGUUCGCGGAGAUGACCGGCCCCGACUCCGCCAUCGUGCGCUUCCACAAGGAGUGGGACGCCGAGCGCGCCAUCAAAAUGUUCGACAGGACCCGCAUUGACGGAAGAACUAUUGACGUCAGAUUUUUCUGAGACGAGGAAACAAGGAGUGUUUCAAGUUGAUGUGUUGUGGGGUUUGUAUAACGGCUGCCUGCAUAGAAAACUUUGUUCUUUACUCUCCAUUAAGUAGUCCACUUUGUGUUUGACAAUCGAUUAGAUAUGUAUCUUAAGUUUAGUGUAAGUUGUCAGGUUUGCUAUUUGCGUACUUUUAAUUUCUAAUGAAUGUGUAAGAUGGAACAUUUUAUUUGUGAGUUUACUGGAAUAUAAAUCUAGGACAUAUAAUUGUUUAAAAAUAGGUUUGGUCUUAAGAAUGGGUCGAUCUUUGUCUUGAACUUGCGUGAUAUGCUGAUGUUCGAUGUAAUAUUAAGCUCGUUCACGAUUUACUUGUUUCACUCCCCUGAAUGUGGGAUAUCACACUGUAAUGAAUAUUCAUUUAUUUCGUAUAUUCUGGUUUUAAAAAGGACCCGAAAACAGGUGUUAUGGAGCUCAAUUGGACAUUAAUCGUGUUGUUUUAUCCACAAUUUGAUCAAUUGGGUUUCUAUUGAAACAUUUUAACUGCGACGAUUGUAGGUUCAAGGUAUGGUGGGAGGAGACAAGAUUUUUGAAACCCUUCUAAUACAUUUUAAGUUAGUUUGCGUAGUGUAUUGUAUCUUUAAAAAGAGCCAGUCGGCACAAUUGUUAAGGUCUAAUAAAUAUUGUUCAGUCAUAACUUCCAUUCACAUGCAAAAUUAUAAUUGAAUAAAUUUUAAUGUAUCGUGUACAAUGAAUUUUUAUUUUUGUCGCUCACAUGGUGAUAGCCCGAGUAUUUCUGCAGUGAAGAACUAGAAAGAGUCAGUAGGUAUUACAGAUGCUGAUGAAUUCUGUCGAGUACUUUCUAAAAAGUUCUCGAUGUUAUUCGAUAUUGAGUUCACUGUUAAUCGUUAAGUGUGAUCCGAAAGGACGAAUCUACAAGAAAGAAUUGAGACGUUGAUCAACAUGGCGGCUUUGUCAAGCUCUCCACUCUUGCUACUUCUCGCUUGAACUCCGCCGGCCUUCUUCAAAGAUAAUUUGGUCGGCCAAGGGAAGAUUAUCGAAGAAUCGAUUCCAGCGAUGUCGUUGAAGCUUCAGAAUAAGUGACAAUACAUGGUUACAAGAUGGAUUAAAAUAAAUGGAACUGACCAUUCCUUAGCCAUUUGACCGCCAAAGACGUCAACUGACGCGUGCUGGUAAAGCCGAACCUUCGUGGAUUUCGAGAAGGUUCACGAUGAUGCGUCGCACAAGAUAGGCGUGGCGUUAAAAGGGUUGAAAUCGACGGAGUCGCUUUGUUUGGUUGAUGGUUCACAUAAGAUAAGAUGCCAAAUAUGCUCGCGUCCUGUAGCAAGCAAAGGUAAUAUGCUCCACUACAUUCUGACUCGCUUGGUGAUAUUUUGAAUAGAAGUUUAGUUAUUUAUUAUACAAUUAUGUUUAUUGUGAUUAUACCUUAUUUUUCUGAAUAUUAAAGACUGAAUACAAAGUACGAACCAA